UUUUCUGUCUCUCCAUCUCCAAGCUAAAUAAUGGCAGAGACAAGUCUAUUAGAGGCUGGGGCCUCUGCAGCGUCCACUGCCGCUGCUCUGGAGAACCUGCAAGUGGAGGCAAGUUGUUCCGUGUGCCUGGAGUAUCUGAAGGAGCCAGUCAUCAUCGAGUGCGGGCACAACUUCUGCAAAGCGUGCAUUACCCGCUGGUGGGAGGACCUAGAGCGGGACUUCCCUUGCCCCGUCUGCCGGAAGACAUCCCGAUACCGGAGUCUCCGGCCUAAUCGACAACUGGGCAGUAUGGUGGAAAUAGCCAAACAGCUCCAGGCAGUCAAGCGGAAGAUCAGAGAUGAAAGCCUCUGCUCUGAACACCAUGAGGCCCUCAGCCUCUUCUGCUAUGAAGAACAGGAGGCUGUCUGUCUAAUAUGUGCAAUUUCUCAUACCCACCGGGCCCAUACCGUCGUGCCCCUGGAUGAUGCUACACAGGAAUACAAGGAGAAAUUGCAGAAGUGCCUGGAGCCCCUGGAACAGAAGCUGCAGGAGAUCACCUGCUGCAAAGCCUCUGAAGAAAAGAAACCAGGGGAGCUCAAGAGACUAGUGGAGAACCGCAGACAGCAAAUCCUAAAGGAGUUUGAAGAGCUCCACAGGAGGCUGGAUGAGGAACAGCAGACUCUCCUUUCACGACUGGAAGAAGAAGAGCAGGACAUCCUACAGAGACUUAGAGAAAAUGCUGCUCACCUUGGGGACAAGCGCCGGGACCUGGCCCACUUAGCUGCUGAGGUGGAGGGCAAGUGCUUACAGUCAGGCUUCGAGAUGCUUAAGGAUGUGAAAAGUACUCUGGAAAAAUGUGAGAAGGUGAAGACCAUGGAGGUGACAACAGUAUCUAUAGAGCUGGAAAAGAACUUCAGCAAUUUCCCCCGGCAGUACUUUGCCCUCAGGAAAAUCCUUAAACAGCUAAUUGCGGAUGUGACCCUGGACCCUGAGACGGCUCAUCCUAACCUCGUCCUAUCAGAGGAUCGGAAGAGUGUCAAGUUUGUGGAGACAAGACUCAGAGACCUCCCUGACACACCACAGCGUUUCACUUUCUACCCUUGUGUCUUGGCUACUGAAGGCUUCACCUCAGGACGACACUACUGGGAGGUGGAGGUGGGCGACAAGACCCACUGGGCAGUAGGAGUAUGCCGGGACUCUGUGAGCAGAAAGGGCGAACUGACUCCACUCCCUGAGACUGGCUACUGGCGUGUACGGCUGUGGAAUGGGGACAAGUAUGCAGCCACCACCACACCUUUUACUCCUUUGCACAUCAAGGUGAAACCUAAGAGGGUGGGCAUAUUCCUAGACUAUGAGGCUGGAACAUUGUCUUUUUACAACGUCACAGACCGCUCACAUAUCUACACCUUCACUGAUACUUUUACUGAAAAACUUUGGCCCCUCUUCUACCCAGGGAUCCGGGCUGGCCGGAAGAAUGCUGCACCACUUACUAUCAGGCCCCCAACAGAUUGGGAGUGACAAGAGGUGGAGCUUAAUUGGGGUGAUGCAGGGUCAAGAGUGACGGGUCUUCCUUACUGUGACCUGCUGGAAUGUCUUGUUGUCUGCAUGGUUCCAGUCCUGAACCAUCUUGAGAAACCACCUGGUCUCUGAGAUGGUUUGUGUGAAGGAGUAAAGACAGGACUGGGCUGUAUGACAGCACAGAUGAGUGUCCCUACUUAACUGUAGUGGGAGAGCGGGCUCCCAGGGGACUGUAAUCUCUGGUGUCCAGCUGGUUUCCUAUUGCACAAGGACAGGUUGGUAAAGAAAAGGCUUUUCUAGAAAUAGAAAGUCUAUAUGAAAGAGUCUUAACUUGCUUAAAAUGCAUGAAACAGAAACCUUUAAAAGGCUUCUGUGACUCAAGCGUAGCCUUGUUCCUUGUAGGAGCGCAUAGGGAUCUAUAUACCUCUGUGUAGAAAGAUGAGUGACAGUUGCUGUCAUGAGUCUUAGAAGUUGAGAGGCUUUUCUGAAGGCAGAGAUUGGGCAUUAAAGUUAGGAGGAAGAUCAGGGAGGAGGCUAAAGGGACAUUCUAAAAAUGAAUGAAGAAGAGGGAGAUUUCUUUUGUUUUCCCCUCUUAGGGUAAUGUUACCAUUACCCAUAGGAUUAGCCAGAGGUUGGAAUUUGGGGAGAAGGAUAAGGUGGGCAGAAAGGAGAAUCCAGGUCUCGAAGCUGGUUUCUCCCUGUCCCCUACAGUUGGUUGUCUCCAAGAAGUGGGCCCACCUUUCUCCCCUCUGGAGGUGAGAUGGAAGUGAUUCUACAGGACACAUACAUCUGCCCUUCCACUGUUUUCCCAAGGGAACUUGGGGAGGAGUCAGCUAUUAGAGGAAAGAAAAUGGUGUGUCCAAAGCCCUGGCCUUAAAGAAUGUUAAAAGUAGUUGUUCCCAAGUUGUCUGCCUUGUCCCCUGGCUCAGGUGCCUAAGCCAGAAAGGAAAAAAGGUAAUGGAUUUUUUUCUCG